rnacentral:rRNA from 1 species
UACGUAGGGGGCUAGCGUUGUCCGGAAUCAUUGGGCGUAAGAGCGUGUAGGCGGCCCGGUAAGUCCGCUGUGAAAGUCGGGGGCUCAACCUCGAAUGCCGGUGGAUACUGUCGGGCUAGAGUGCGGAAGAGGCGAGUGGAAUUCCUGGUGUAGCGGUGAAAUGCGCAGAUAUCAGGAGGAACACCAAUUGCGAAGGCAGCUCGCUGGGACGUAACUGACGCUGAGACGCGAAAGCGUGGGGAGCAAACAGG